rnacentral:rRNA from 1 species
UCCUGGCUUAGAACGAACGCUGGCGGCAUGCCUAAUACAUGCAAGUCGAACGGAGAUAGCAAUAUCUAGUGGCGAACGGGUGCGUAACACGUGAGCAACCUGCCUUAUACAUCGGAAUAACAGCUGGAAACGGCUGCUAAUACCGGAUAAGACCACACCAAGGCAUCUUGGAGAGGUCAAAGCGAAUUAGCGGUAUAAGAUGGGCUCGCGUCCAAUUAGCUAGUUGGUGGGGUAACGGCCACCAAGGCAACGAUUGGUAGCCGACUUGAGAGAGUGAUCGGCCACACUGGAACUGAGACACGGUCCAGACUCCUACGGGAGGCAGCAGUAGGGAAUAUUGGGCAGUGGAGGAAACUCUUUAACCCCCAGCAAUGCCGCGUGAAUGAUGAAGGUCUUAUGGAUUGUAAAGUUCUUUAAUUGGGGACGAAAGAAAUGACGGUACCCAAAGAAUAAGCCCCGGCUAACUAUGUGCCAGCAGCAGC